AACGGAGCCACGUCUCCCCCCGCCCCCAUCCCCCAACACACCGUACAAACCGCCGCUUCCAACUGAAAUAACGGUCUGUGACUUUGCCCUUGGAAGAAUCCAGCCGCCCCUGCCCAGUGGAGGCUCGGACAAGAGCUCGGCAUGCAUCGCAGAACCCGUCCAGUCCCGAGUCCGGCCAGCCGCCCUGACCGCCGGGUCUCGUGGGGCGCCAUGGCACCCAGCGGGAGCGUCCGGGUGGCCGGGUUCGGCGCCCCGGGGGCGUGUCCUGCGCGCCCGUCUGUCCCGGAAGACCCCGCAUCCCGCGGGGCCGCGGCUCUGGGGCCUCCGGUGGGAGUCGGGCCGUGAGAGCCGCACCUCCCGCCUCUGCGUGGGGCGGACCCCGCCCGCUUCAUUCCGGUGAUUCCUCCCCCAGAGGUUCCGGCGUCUCGGGCCACAGGAGGUUGAGUCUUGCGGGGAGGAAGUUGGCCCAAAGUGAUGAAACCACAGCAAUGAUAACAACAACAACAAAGAAGUAUCUCAUUUUGCAACAUAUAGCCACCAGGUUCCAGAUGCUAACAUAAUGCCAACCAGAUAUCCUGGACAGAUGACCAUACCAAUGUGUCCUGGAGCCACACUUCCCCAGAGCCCUGACGCAGUAGGGGACAAGAGACAGGCUGGGAUUAUGGAUCGACCUGCCAAUGCCCAUGUUCAGUGGGGAAGCAAUUACAGAAGCCAGACCUUCCACCUUCUGCACCCCAUAAUAACCCUGGGUCCAUACUCCCAGAAGGAUAAAGAGUAGGAAAGCUAUCGGGGAAGAGGAUGGGAUAUGGAGUUCUGGUGGUGGAAAUUGUGUAGAGUCCUAUGGCUUUUGUCAGUGUUUCCUUUUUAUAAGUAAAAAUUAAAAAAACAAACUACCUGAUGGGUUAGA